rnacentral:rRNA from 1 species
GACGAACGCUGGCGGCGUGCCUAAUACAUGCAAGUCGAACGAGAGCGACCGGUGCUUGCACUGGUCAAUCUAGUGGCGAACGGGUGAGUAACACGUGGGUAACCUGCCCAUCAGAGGGGGAUAACAUCCGGAAACGGAUGCUAAAACCGCAUAGGUCUUCGAACCGCAUGGUUUGAUGAGGAAAAGAGGCGCAAGCUUCUGCUGAUGGAUGGACCCGCGGUGCAUUAGCUAGUUGGUGAGGUAACGGCUCACCAAGGCCGUGAUGCAUAGCCGACCUGAGAGGGUGAUCGGCCACAUUGGGACUGAGACACGGCCCAUACUCCUACGGGAGGCAGCAGUAGGGAAUCUUCCGCAAUGGACGCAAGUCUGACGGAGCAACGCCGCGUGAGUGAAGAAGGUUUUCGGAUCGUAAAACUCUGUUUUUAGAGAAGAACAAGUGCUGGAGUAACUGUUAGCGCCUUGACGGUAACUAACCAGAAAGCCACGGCUAACUACGUG